AUGAACGCUAGCUACAGGCUUAACACAUGCAAGUCGAGGGGCAGCAUCAUCAAAGCUUGCUUUGAUGGAUGGCGACCGGCGCACGGGUGAGUAACACGUAUCCAACCUGCCGACAACACUGGGAUAGCCUUUCGAAAGAAAGAUUAAUACCGGAUGGCAUAGUUUUCCCGCAUGGGAUAAUUAUUAAAGAAUUUCGGUUGUCGAUGGGGAUGCGUUCCAUUAGGCAGUUGGCGGGGUAACGGCCCACCAAACCAACGAUGGAUAGGGGUUCUGAGAGGAAGGUCCCCCACAUUGGAACUGAGACACGGUCCAAACUCCUACGGGAGGCAGCAGUGAGGAAUAUUGGUCAAUGGACGAGAGUCUGAACCAGCCAAGUAGCGUGAAGGAUGACUGCCCUAUGGGUUGUAAACUUCUUUUAUACGGGAAUAAAGUGAGCCACGUGUGGCUUUUUGUAUGUACCGUAUGAAUAAGGAUCGGCUAACUCCGUGCCAGCAGCCGCGGUAAUACGGAGGAUCCGAGCGUUAUCCGGAUUUAUUGGGUUUAAAGGGAGCGUAGGCGGGUUGUUAAGUCAGUUGUGAAAGUUUGCGGCUCAACCGUAAAAUUGCAGUUGAUACUGGCGACCUUGAGUGCAACAGAGGUAGGCGGAAUUCGUGGUGUAGCGGUGAAAUGCUUAGAUAUCACGAAGAACUCCGAUUGCGAAGGCAGCUUACUGGAUUGUAACUGACGCUGAUGCUCGAAAGUGUGGGUAUCAAACAGGAUUAGAUACCCUGGUAGUCCACACAGUAAACGAUGAAUACUCGCUGUUGGCGAUAUACGGUCAGCGGCCAAGCGAAAGCAUUAAGUAUUCCACCUGGGGAGUACGCCGGCAACGGUGAAACUCAAAGGAAUUGACGGGGGCCCGCACAAGCGGUGGAGUAUGUGGUUUAAUUCGAGGCAACGCGAAGAACCUUACCAGGCCUUGACAUCCCUUGCAGAGGUAUAGAGAUAUAUCCGAGGUUAUCAAGGAGACAGGUGGUGCAUGGUUGUCGUCAGCUCGUGCCGUGAGGUGUCGGCUUAAGUGCCAUAACGAGCGCAACCCUUAUCGAUAGUUACUAGCAGGUCAUGCUGAGGACUCUAUUGAGACUGCCGUCGUAAGAUGUGAGGAAGGUGGGGAUGACGUCAAAUCAGCACGGCCCUUACGUCCGGGGCUACACACGUGUUACAAUGGGGGGUACAGAAGGCAGCUACACGGCGACGUGGUGCUAAUCCCUAAAGCCUCUCUCAGUUCGGAUUGGAGUCUGCAACCCGACUCCAUGAAGCUGGAUUCGCUAGUAAUCGCGCAUCAGCCACGGCGCGGUGAAUACGUUCCCGGGCCUUGUACACACCGCCCGUCAAGCCAUGAAAGCCGGGGGUACCUGAAGUACGUAACCGCGAGGAGCGUCCUAGGGUAAAACUGGUGAUUGGGGCU
rnacentral:rRNA from 1 species